GUCAACGGCGCCAUAAGAGCUCGAAGCCGGUGCGUCCUCGUUAGGUGCUGUUGCGACGUGCGUGACUCGAUGGCCAUGUACCUCGGGGGUUCGGUCGUGCUGACGAUCCUCUCCUGCCUCUGCCGCAAGGUGGAGAUAUUCGUGCUCACCAUGACUCCCUACGACCCGAUCGAGUGCUGCGGGAUUAAAGGGUUGCUUUACCUCAGAGGGCGCUUGGACAACCCAGAAUACAGCGCGAACGCGGUA